AAAUUUCUUUUACAACAGAGUAUUUUGAAUUCCUACAUUUCAUCUCCAGCCAUCAAUGGUUGUAAAAACAAUCCCGCUGUUCCUAGAAUACAUACCAGAAUAAAAACCCACAGAAAAAUGCGAUCAAUUACCAUGGCAACAUACUUCCAAUCAUCCUGAAUCUGAAAAAUAUAAACACAGACAAAUAAGACAGGAAGCAGGCAUGUUCUGAUAAGGGUAAAGUUUACUGAUCAUUAAAUUGCUUGGUAAUAUCAGAACUCCUUUCUGUGUUCAGCAAAAAUGUACAUGGGAGCUCCUCCAUAUAUAGAAUGUUUCCUCUUUCAUAUGACCACAACUUCGAACCUGGCUUUUGAGGCAGCAGAAAUUCAUCCAUCAUUCAUCCAAAAACAUUCAGGCCAAAAACAGUGCAGAAUUAACUUCGUCCCCCAAAUGGUUUGAUUCAUUAUGGCUGAAACUUGCUUUGCAUGAGUUGCAGAAGCUAUCUUUCUAAAUUAAUUCCAACUUUGUAACACUAUUUUAAGAUAAUAGAACUGUCCCUUUCAUUAAACACACAGGGGACAUAUGGCCCCUCUUCCAUGGGGACAGAAAUUUGAAGGUGAAAGAGACUUGGGCACCUACGCAUCUAAGUCCUCUUGAAACGCACCAUUCCUGUUGAAGUGAAGGAGUUCAGCAUGAGAAUUAUUAUCAGGGAAAGCCUCACUACAGUACCUUGCAGUAUCACUCCUCUAAGAAAGCAGGAAUUCAGGGCUCCUGCCGCAGCUUGUCACUGUGGAUGCAUGGAUCAGAGCAGGGCCAUCUCUCCACCCUGUUCACAAUCACAUAACAUCCCUGUGGCAAUUUCAGCUGUUGUUUACAUGGAAAAGUAAGACUGGGAAAGCAUUUUCAGCUAUUUACGUGAUUAGAAAACUGCAGAAGAGAAGAAGCCAGCACCACAUGACUAGCCAGCUCUUCAUGGACCUACCAGCAUGUGCUGUACAGACCACAGUGUGGGAACUCCUGUACUGGAGAGUAUUUCAAGCAUGUUUCACUGAGGCCAGCUUCCCUACAUAGCGUAUAGCCAACAUAUCAUCUCAGUAACACAUUUGGUCUCCUACUGACGUGCUGGAAGCAAAAGUCCUAAGUGUGUACCAGCCCUGGGGCUUUUCUAUAGUUAUAUUUAAUGCUGUGUUGAUGUCAGAUGGGUAGCAAUUUUAACUGCAAAAAUGUCUGGAUCUAAUACUCCCUUUCAAUGAAAGGUCUGAAUUACUGAAGAGUUUCUCAUCUGUAAAUGAGAGGAAAGUUGUGUAGCAGAACUAUCUGCUCCUUCUUACUGCCAGCCUUGCAUAUAGUUCCAAAAACAAUUAUAGAAAGAGUGGGGAGUAGAAGGAGCACAGGGAUGCAGAGUCUAAAGUUUCCUGUCUGUUUCUCUUAUUAAAAUGUGUGUUUUCAAUUUUUAAUACUUAUUAGCUCAACAGACUCCAAAAGUAUUGAUGUUCAACAGAAGCAGUGAUUGGGGGGUAGUUCUGCUACUAGAGAAGUAACAGUUUGCAAUAUAUAUCGUAGUCGCUGUGUAUUGCUACCCGGGUUUGAUCAGAAUCUUAGGUCUUUUGUAAUAGUCAUGGGAAUGCUCAAUUUUUUUAAAAAUUCAUGGUACAAAACCAAAACAAAUUAAGAGUAAAGGCACUUGAUAUGGCAUAGUCUUACUUGUUAUAUAAGACAAUGUCUGGCUUCCAGAUCCUAUCAGCUGGAACUCGAAUAAACUCAACACCUCCAUAUUCCUCUGGAUUCCACUUAAGUUUGUAAUCAUUCCAGAUCUAAUCACAGAAGAAACCAAACUUCAUUAGAAUUACAAAAAGACCCAUCUCAAAUUGUGGACUACUGCCCAUUCUUUCCAUUAAAACA